rnacentral:misc_RNA from 1 species
GAAAUGCGAUACUUAAUGUGAAACGCAAUCCAGUGUGAAUCAUCGAGGUUUCGAACGCAUAUUGCGCUCUCGGAGUCACCUCUGGGAGCAUACCUGUUUGAGAAUCGUUUAAUCUGUCCAAAUCCAGCAGCAAUCAAAUCUGAUUGCCUGCCUGCAUUUGGGAUGUGAGAGCUCUCAUUCCAGCGCCGAAAGGCAGGGACGAGUCUCUUAAAGCUGAGAACCGCAUUAUGGCCGUGUGGCCACUCCCGGCAGCCCUGUCAUGUGGAGCUCUCAUGUACCGAUGUGUCGCAGUGAUUUAUCACUAGCACGAUGUCAUUGGGAAGGGGGCACUGGUCAGGGCUGGUGGCGGGUAAGAUGCGUGCUACAAUCUAUAUAUUCAUCACAAUUGCGAUCUCAAAUC